rnacentral:tRNA from 66 species
CGGAUGUAGCCAAGUGGAUCAAGGCAGUGGAUUGUGAAUCCACCAUGCGCG